rnacentral:rRNA from 1 species
GACGAACGCUGGCCGGCGUGCCUAAUACAUGCAAGUGGGACGCAAGGGAACACACUGUGCUUGCACACCGUGUUUUCUUGAGUCGCGAACGGGUGAGUAACGCGUAGGUAACCUGCCUAUUAGCGGGGGAUAACUAUUGGAAACGAUAGCUAAUACCGCAUAAUAUUAAUUAUUGCAUGAUAAUUGAUUGAAAGAUGCAAGCGCAUCACUAGUAGAUGGACCUGCGUUGUAUUAGCUAGUUGGUAAGGUAAGAGCUUACCAAGGCGACGAUACAUAGCCGACCUGAGAGGGUGAUCGGCCACACUGGGACUGAGACACGGCCCAGACUCCUACGGGAGGCAGCAGUAGGGAAUCUUCGGCAAUGGACGAAAAGUCUGACCGAGCAACGCCCGCGUGAGUGAAAGAAA